CUGGGAUCAUCAUCCCAUCUUCGCCCCGCUGGGAUGUCACGCAGUCGCUGCCACACUGCUGGCGCUGCGGAGGUCACAGCUCGAAUCCUGUGUCCGACUCUGGAUCCAGCAUGGAAAGAAGAGAGGAUCCGUCUGUGCUGCCAGAACAGAGCCAGGAGCAACCUAAAAAUGCAACCUAAAUAUCCCAAGCUUCUCCACUCCACAAAAAGGGGAAGUGAGGCUGCUCUUUCAUGGAAUUCCAACUGCCUCGGGCACUGCAAUUAGCCUUUGGAAUAAGCAGCAAAUCCCAAUUUCCUUGGAUCGUGAUCUGCCACAAAAAUGGAAAAGAAAUGCCCAUGGGAUUUAAUUCCAGCAGCAGGGAUGAACCUCAAGGAGAAAGUGUCUGUGGGGGAUCUUCGAACAAAGAAUUUAUCCAAGCAGGAUCAUGCCCAGGAAUCUCCUGGAGAGCUGGAUGACUCUGACCUUUCCUGGCUAUAGGAACACCUGUUGUCACCACAAUUUUAAUUUCAUUGUUUCCAGUUCUUCUUCCACUUCUCCUUUUACUUCUGCUUCUUUUUUUUUACGGAGAAAACCGCCAAGCAAAGGGAGAAAACAUCCCAGCAAACACAGGAAAAGAAGGAAAACAGAAUGUGAUGGAGAUGGGGAAAAAAAAAAAAAAAAACAAUAAAUUUCUGCUCCAGAUUUUUUUUUUUCAGUAGCU